GGCUUCCACCGGAAAGUUGAUCACUAUACCAAACUUUUAAUUCUCUGUAUCAUCAUUAUCCUCUUCCACUUGAUCGACAACACGAGCAUCCAACGUUACGCUCGGUGCCCAGACCAGCAGCUUUGCACCUUCUUGAAUCAAGCCCUGCAGGCUGCAACUCCCUUUUGCUCAAACCUGUCCAUGAAAUCAUCAGAGCGCUCGCAUGGCAGAUAAUUUCAUUAGGUGAUUUAAUUAGAAUAUUCUCAAAGCAUAUUCUAUUCCUUGAUUUCUAGAUGGCCCAACAUAUGGCCGAAACGGCCACGAUAUGAACAUGUUUGGUUUGUGGCACAAGCUUCUGCAACCACAACCAGCACUGGUUCACAUCAGAAAUGUAUGGUCCGGUUGCAUUUUGGAUACUAUAGACUUGAAUGCUUAAUGGCCUAUAGCUGAGAAAAUGUUUAAACUGGUACGAUUCUGAAUUCAAAUAACAUAUGUGCUUUUAUACAACCACCUAAGUCUAGUACACUAUCAUAGAACUCCAUAAGUAGCACCUUGAAUGAACUUAGAACAUGCUAAAAUGCACAGAUAUGAUUAUCAAAUUUCCUAGGCAAAAGUACAUCAAUUACCUAAAAAGAAAUGAAAGUCAUAAUAUCAUUGUCAUAUCAAAGCUAUAUUCUCAUAUCAAAAUUAUCUGAUACUGUAAUCUCUAAUCCAAAAAUAUAAACAGAAAAUGAAUGCUCGGAAAUCAUAAUUACAAAUAUUCAAGCUUAAGCAACUUCCCAAUGGCAGCUGGCAAUGGACCACCAAGAUAUCUGUUUGAGCCAGAUCUCUGCAAAGCAAUGCUCAGAAAGUGAGUGAUUGAGUCGUAGUGUAAACUGUGAAACAUAGAAGCAUCUUUCAAAAGAAAAAGUUACAUUAUGGCGAUACUCACAAGAUCCUUAGCUUAGUCAGACUUCCUAUAUCAUCACUCAGACGUUUUAGUUUUUGUCUUCAAUGUG
rnacentral:lncRNA from 1 species